AUUAUGGGGUAGCGAUCGCCCCACGAGGCCACGGCUGAAGAAUCGCGUCCUUUGAACCCGAGCCAAACGGAGGGACGCGUUAUG
rfam:Paramesorhizobium deserti strain A-3-E Scaffold3, whole genome shotgun sequence.